CUUUGUCUCUUCAUGUUCCUCGAUUUAUCAACUUCCCCGCACCUCAUUCGCUUUCUCCAAACCUCCAGGCACCCGAUGAUCUCCACGGAUAGCGCCCCGCUCCAGCUCCUCGCCCCUACCCUCGCUGACGCAGGAACCCUCCUCUCCCCCAUGGCAGCUAUGGUACUUACAGAGGCAGCCAUUGGGGCGUCACACCCUCCUCUCAUGGGGUGUUCUUGGUGGCUCUAGGGGUCGUGUGCGUGGCCGUGUUGAUAGACCUAGCUGAGCUCGAGCGUCAUCGGCGCCUCGGCGGUGGGCUCCUGCGGCGGCGUCCAGAGGGCUGGGUCGGCGGCGAGAUAAUUUGGGGCGGGAGCACGGCGAGUCCCCUACUUCGGCUCGACCCCCUGCAUCGCGGCGCUGCGCCUUCUCCGUUCUCUGGCGCACUGCAAUCCCCACCACGACCCGUCGUUUCCCCGACCCCUCGGGCCUCGGCCCCGCCGCCAGGCGGGACUCUCGCCGCGCCAGAUAACGCCACCGGACCAUCUCUCUGCGGCCAGCCUACGCCGCCAGCCCAGUUCCCCGUCACCCCGCCACCAGCAAGAGCGCCGGCCGCCGGUGAUCGCCACCACUACUCGCCGCCGCCAAAUCAACGGCGCAAAACUCCCGUCCCCCAAGCUGCUGCACCGUCGCUGGGCACCACACACCACCUGUCCCCCGACCUCCUCCGUGCCAUGAGGCGCCGCCGCCGAAACGCCCGAGCGCCACCGCUGGAAGAUCCUGCACCGCCCACCAUGGCAGCCCAUUCCUCCAUCCCCAGGCCAACCUCCCGAGCACGACCCCUUCCUGCCCACUGCUGUGCGGGCUCCGGGUGCUGCUCUUAUUUUACGUGUGCGCAGCUCUUGCUGCUUCGUCUCUGCUAGCAUGUGCUGCAGCGCUUUCUUUCUCUGCCUGCAGGUGCCUUCAUCAGGCUGCUGAUCACCGUGGAUCAGCAGCAAUGUCGAAGUCAAAAGAUUCGUCAGGGAAAUCGGCAUGUUCUAGCCUCUGGAGGUAACCACUCAGGGGAAGCGCCCAGUUGGAUAACCACAAAUGUCAUGCAUCCGAUCGGACCCACGUGAUGUGUGCGAUGUGCAGAAAAACGAAGAUUCAUGUUGAAGUCAGAGCUUGAGAGGUGUAUUCCGAGUUGAUCAUUCUCUCUUUAUCUUGUGCUGCUCUUGCCCGGCUCCUCAAGCAAUCAACGUCGUAUCGUGAAAUCCCUGCUCUAUUCUUCGUCCUAAUGGAUUCAAGCACAUGACCAUCUGAAUCAGAUUUGAUCCGUAACAUCUCAUCAAGAAAAAUAGGUACAUGUCAUUUUCCAGCAUUGCUCUCAAGUGUUGACAAGAUUAUGCUCUGUAGACUGUAGGUAGAAGAUGAGAGCCAGCCUGGGUGGUCUACAUCGCCUUUAGCCGUACCCUGUUCAUGCAUUCACCAUCCAGCCAGUUUCCUUUCAUGUUAUUAGGAAGCUUUACAUUUUCCCCAUAUCAGCCCAUGUUAGCCAAUGUAAUUAGUUGAUGUUUCCUAUGAAGAUGUUUAAUAUUAAUGGUUGUUGCGCCCCUUUUUUGUUUGGAUUUGUCUUCUCUUGAUAAUUUAUCUGUUGAGUGUCUUCCUCAGUUGGCUGCUAUGCAUAUGCCCUGCAACUAGCAAAGGUUUCUUCUCUAUGUUCAAUGCCACUACAAUGUGUUUCUUGAUUUUCUUACAUUGAUCAACUGGAGUCUUUCCAUCGAUAGUUUGAUAGCACAAUCUUUGGUCUAUUAGUUGAAUGGGGAAAACUGCAAUGACAUGUAGAACUCUAUGUGAGAUAAAGGCUAGAGCAUCCCUCCUUGGGAAUGCAAUAAUAAUCAGCAAUUGGGACGUAGUUAGUUUGACAUGAUCCUCACUGAUGAGAAAGUCUCCAUUGGUUGACUAUGCAGUACGAUUAAUUAUGAAAGUUUCUACUUACAUGGUUCCUCUCUUGUAUUUCUAAAAUUAUCUAGAUAAAUGAUUUUUCGGCAUUCUAAUAUAGGACAUUCAUAUGUAAAUUUCUUGCAAUUGUAACUACAUAAAGUAAUAAUAUAUACUAUGAUCUUUCCCUUUAAGGUUCCAGUAUCUUGAUUUUCGAGCUGACACUUGCAGAAAAUACAACAAGGUAUCUGCAGCUAAAAGUUGUGUACUUAGGUUAAUACCAUACAUGCGGUAUAUGUGGCUCACUUAGAAGGGAUAAUAUGAUUUAUUCGAUGCAUUUUUGGCAUCUAGAUUUGAAUUGUUCUCAGCUAUGAGUUUAUUAGUUUAUGUUUGUGCUCUAUAAAUGAUGAGUUGAACAUAUUGUUGUUCUAGAGGUAUUAGUUUGUAUUUCCUAUUUGGCAUACAUAUAUAUCUCAUACAUCCGGAUGCCACUGUCGGUGCAUGCUGUCAUGUCCAGCCAAAUGGUCAUCAACAUUUUUUUGUUUAAUUGCUCAAUAGAUAUCAGAGACAUCGUGUAAUUUAGUAGUGAGUCUGUUGUGUGUUUCCGUGGUAUGUAUCACUUCCAUUAUGACUCGAUGUUUCUUCCCUAGGUAUGUUCGACUUUUUCCUUUUCCCAACAAAUAUAUUAUUAUCUGAUUAUCUCUAUUUGUUGUAAUUAAACUUGACAUAUGACAGUAUUCUUUGAACCAUUAUAAUGCUACAUAUCUAUAAGUACUUAACCCUAUUAUUCAGUCAGCUAUGAAUAGAUCAACAUUUAUUUACUAUCUUUCUAAGCUACUGAAAAGUCGGCCUGAUAAUAAUAGGGUAAAGGAUUAACGAAAAAAUGGUUUGACCAGUGCAAGAUAAUACGAAAUACAGACCCAUCUGGCUUUUCAGUUAUGUAAAGAGCAUACAUCUUAAGCCGUAUGCUUCUCAGUAUAUGUGAGGUACUUAUAUAGAGAAAACAUGCCACAUUAUUGCUAUAACAAUUUUAAUUAUUUAUACAAGUAAGAAACUAUAUGCGAUCAAAGUUGUAAUUUCCCUCAUUAAAGCUCAUAGACAUUUUCCCCUGCAAUGCUUUGGUAACAGACUUAAUUGUUUUUUUGUACUACAAUUAAUAUAAAAGUCUAGCCACCAUUUCAGGGAAACACGGUAGAGGGGGCUGUGUACCAGCAAAAUGUGUCGAUCAAUUCAGAGGCUAAUUGGAGGAAGGCUUGAUCUACACUUGAGAUGUCCAUUGUUGCAGGAGCAUGGAAAAAGUUGCAGAAUGGCAGGGCAUCCGUACAUAAUCAACUUUGCUUAAUGUCCACUGAUUCAGGAAGUUACUCAUCAGCCUGAGAAUUUCCGUCUGUUUGCAUAUAAGGGUUAUCCAUUUGAUGCUCUGGAAGCAUGUAUAGCAGAUGCAUACUUUAAGGUUUCCUUAUCUUGAACUACACAUGCCAUCAGUGUUUUUGUGUGUCAAAAUCAUAAGAAGAACUUGUAAUAAAAGAGUUAUAUCAAACUAGCAAAGCAUCUGUGUAUGUUUUUCUUCGCCUCUAUAGUAGACCUUUUCUAGCAUAGGUCGUAGUUGUUGAAUGAAUUUGUUUUGCUCUAAAAAUAUAUACUUUUAUGUGAGGUGUAUAUCUCAAAUUGUUAAAUAACUAUUACAUUUGUUACAAUAGAGUAGAACUGUAUUCAUUGCUAGAGUAACAUAAAUUUUGAUGUACCGAUUUAGUGCAGAAGUCCUGGUACAUCAAUAUACAUAAAUAUUUUACUUUUCCUGGUUACUUCAGUUCUUUUUUAUUUCAUAUUACUCUUUAAGCAAGUUAGGACUAGAUACCGAUUAUCUAAGCACAUGAUACACUGCUGACCAGUGAAUAUACAAUUUUACAAUCAGACACAAUCCAAUCAACAAAUUUCUAUCCAUUUGCCAUAAAAUAAUCCCAGAUCAUGGGAAACAUGUUGUGCAGUCCAAUAAGGUUACUUCUAUCAUCAGAAUUUCUCAGAGCAUCUACUUCUGUCAGGUUUCUCAUGUCUUACAUGCAUCCCGGCAAACUCCAUUUCAUGGAAAAUUUUGAAGCUAGCAUUUUGUUGCCAACUAUGACUUCCUUUGUUGAAGACUAAUUUCUUCUAUCUUGACAAAGAGGGUCCUCGCGUCAUUCCAGGCACUUCUUCACAGGAUCAGGGUGUGGAUGGGAAAAUGAGCAAUGGAUGCAACUUUUGCUUAAUGGACAUUGUCUAAUCAUGCUCUUAAACAUAGACCACCCAGGCAGCAUGGUGUGCAAUGUACGUGUCACUGCCAAAAAUUACCAUCAAGCAGCUACAAUAUGGCGCGGCGUGCCGCCGCGCCCUUCAUUGCUAGUAAUAUCAAAAGGAGAACAGCUCCACUUAUCAAGCAACUGGUUGGAGCAAGAAAUUCAUCAGAUUUUACUCCCCUUUACGGCGAGCUUAAGAUUAGCUGUCUCACCGCUUUUCGCUUCGAAAAUGUCCUCGAUCUCCUUGCCGAGAUGCCGCGUUUACUCGCACCACCUACCUAAUUUUCUGGCCAGAAAUGUAAGCUCUGUUCCAUGGGCACAGAACUAAUCGGCAUAUGUACCACCCGCCCAUCCUCCCUCUCCUUCUAAACGCCCGUCUGAUCCUGGCCCACCCCAGUUCUCCACGCAGACACGCAUCAUUGUCGCGAUACCAGAAUGACACAGAUCCCCAAACCAAAUAAAAUAUCCAGAAAACGAGAGCAGCUGAGCCCGGGUGC